GGCCCCAUGGUCAAGUGGUUAAGACACCACCCUUUCACGGUGGUAACGGGGGUUCGAAUCCCCCUGGGGUCACCA
rnacentral:tRNA from 2 species